UUGAUUUUUUAAUACUAUAUUUCGUUGGCAAUGGUGUGAUUAUGGUGAAUAUAGUGUUAUGGGACUGCAAGUUUCUGCUUUACGUUUUAGUUUGCCCCAGGGGCGGUUCUAGACCCUUUUAAGUGGGGCUCCAGCCACCCUGCCGUCAUCUUAGCCCCCCUAAAAUUAGUCUUAAUAUUUCUACCAAACUAUCAAAUAUAUUUUUCUGAAGUUUUAUUUAUUUGUAAAAACAAUUAAUUCGAAGAUAAUUAUUAAAAAAAACGCAAAAUGCAAGACAUUUAGAAAAAAAUUACGAGUUUAUGAGGCAUUUGAUUAGCUUUGCUGUUCUGCGCAUGCGUCGUAACCGUCAGUGGAGGAGAGCUCGAGCGCCUGUGCUUCAGGUCACACAGAGGGAGCAGUUGUUUCAUAAAAUAUCCAGCGUGGAAGCUCAGAAGAUGGAUAUAUAACGUUUUUUAAAUGCUGGAAAGGAGAGCAAACAGGUGGAGAAAGAGUUAGAGAGACUGAAGAGGUCAGAGACAGGUGCAUUUAUAGUCCAUCAUGACAUAAAAAAUCCUCUGCAUGCAACCACGAGGAGAGGGGGAAUUUACUAAGGAGUUUUGUCUAUAUAUUAUAUAAAAUCUACUGUUGGGAAGAGCAGAACCUAAUCCAAAUAAAAAUAAACAAGCUGUUAAAAGCCAGUUGAAGGUGGUCAACACAAACCAAAUGAAGAUGUUGCACAUUCCACAAACAAUAAAAAAGAAGAUCAAGUUUUGUGUCCAACACACUUGGAUGAGACGUGCCCGACCCCUGACUUUGUCUACCCUACAUUAAGUUGUGAUGGCACACUUCAUGAAAGUAAACAUCGGUAUCAAGAU